rnacentral:rRNA from 1 species
UACGGAGGGUGCGAGCGUUGUCCGGAAUCAUUGGGCGUAAAGGGCGCGUAGGUGGCCCGGUCAGUUCGUGGUGAAAGCGCGGGGCUCAACCCUGCGUCGGCCAUGAAUACUGCCGCGGCUGGAGCACUGUAGAGGCAGGCGGAAUUCCGGGUGGAGUGGUGAAAUGCGUAGAGAUCCGGAGGAACACCAAAGGCGAAGGCAGUGUCCUGGGGAGUACCUGACGCUCAGGUGCGAAAGCCAGGGGAGCGAACGGG